GCCCGGGAUCCCCUGGAUUGGGAAAAGGAGUGCGGCGUCAUGGAGUCCGCCGCGUGAGCCAACGUCGCCGUGUCAGCCGGACUUUCCUUAGACAACUUCAGGAAUAGUGACUCUAGCAUCUCCCUGGGGAGUCCAUUCCAGUAUCUUGUCACCCUUUCUGUGAAGAAAUUCCUCUAGAUGUCGACUGUCCCCUUGCUGCAUCUCCUUUCAGAUAGUUGUAGAGAGUGAUAAGCCUUGCCAGGGAAGUUCCCCACCACAGGCUUCACAUCCAUGGUCUGGCAUCACAGAGUCACAGAACCAUUGGGGUUGGAAAGGACCUCUGGAGAUCAUCCAGUCCAAUGCCUCUGCUAAGUCAGGAUCACCCAGAGCAGGUGAUGCAGAACACACAGGUUUUGAACAGUUCCAGAGGGAGACACUCCACAGCCUCCCUGAGCAGCCUGUUCCAGUGCUCCACCACCAUCAAUAUAAAGAAGUUAUCCCUCAUGUUGAGGUGGAAUUUCUUGUGUUUUAACUUAAGGCCACUGGUCCUGGUCCUGUCACUAUGCACAACUGAAAAGAGUCUGGCAGCACCCUCUUGACACCUGUCUUUGAGAUAUUUAUACGUAUUGACAAGAUCCUUUUUAGUCUUCUCUAGACUAAACAGGCCCAGCUCCCACAGUCUGUCAUAAGAGAGAUGACUCCAGCAAUUGUGCAUGUGUGGCUGGACCCUCUCCAGUAGUUCCUUGUCUUUCUUGUACUGAGGGGUCCAGAACUAGACAUAGUGCUUCAGAUGUGGCCUCACUAUUUACAAGUUUAUUAUUUUUCAUGCUAGAAAACGUGAGCAUUAUGUUUCUUUCUCCCUUUUGUAGUGCAGGCCCCCUCUCAAAGCCCAUGGCUGUGCUUCUCCCUGCUGUCCCCAACAACUCGCCUCCUUUCUCCCAGCUGGUCAGUGCAGAGCUCUGUGAUGGGGCCCCUUAAGUGAACCAAUCCCCGAUGCCCCCAGCUGCCCCUGCCCAGCCAAACUACUGAAUUUUUUCCUGUCACUGCUGCCUGUGUAACAACCCUUGUUCUUUUUAUUUCUUCCACCUUGUGUGUUUUUCACUGUGGCUUUUUCUCCUCUGUUAUGUUACUGUGAUUUAGAAGCUACCCACACGCAGCUGCUUGCUGCUGGUCACUGGAUACCAUCUGUGUGCCCUUGCUGGAUCCCUCAGAGACGUUCUCCUGUAGCCGUGUUUUCCCUCACCUUUUUCAUGUAUUAUCAGUCUUUGUGUUUUCCGAGUCCUCUUCUGGGAGCCAAACACACACACCUCCCGGUCCCUAGCUCACGCAGUUGCUGCUGCCUUUGAGUAUAUACGUAAACCUUGUUCCUCAGUUCACAUUUCUGAGGCAGAGAUCAUUCACAGUCUACAAUUUCAGUUCCCCACAAGUUUGCCAGUGCGUUUGUGUUUACUCUGACGAGUGGGACUAAUCUCACAGCAUGGGGAAUGUGCAUGUCUGGCUCCAACAGAAGGCAAAGCAGUCAUUGCAGGAGCUGUGUUGCACAGCAGAGGGCAGGAGCAGAUUUAUGGGGGAAGAAGCCUGGCAUUCUCAUCAGUGCUACACGUGCUCACAGAGUGAUGCAAGAGAGGAGGAGCCUUGCUGCUUCAUGGUCCCAAUCACCACCACAACUGAACCUGAUGAGCCUACUAGCACCUGUAGAAAUACUGCUGGCCUUGCCUUCCCACCCUGCACUUUUAUGCCUUUUAUACUGAUUCUUCCCUGGAAUAUCCUCAGUCAACUAUUCUCUUUGGCCUUGUUCCUGUAAGACUAUGUUAAUAAUUAAUCUAUCCUUCUUUAUUGAUUAACAUUGUCUCCCUUGUUAGUAUUCCCCAGAGACAAGGUCUUGCCUACUACUUCUUAUGUGUCUGUAAAUUUAGUUUGCUCUUACAUCAUCUUUUCACUACACCAGAGUUGAGUGAUAAUUUGUACAAAAAAUAUUGAUCCUGUGAAAAUCGAAGCCUUUGUAACUAGUCAAAAUUAAUGAUAAUCCCAAAAUUACUCCAUCUGGUGGUGAUAAAAAUUCUCAGGGAGACGAUGAUUCAGAAGGCACUGCUGAAGAGCAGCAGCCUCUGUUCCUCCUACCAGUGAAUCAGAGAUGAAAAUUAGGGAAUGAUCAAGUAACUGUAAAAGAUGGUGGGGGAACUUCCAAAAAUUUUGUCCACUGUAUCUGGAAAAUUUGAACAGUUAAUCAGUUUGUGGAGAAAAGAUGGCAGGGGUGGGGGGGGGAAGCCCAUAUUAUUUAUCUGAACUAGCAACCCCAGCAUAUAAUUGAGAAGGAGGGGGAAAAAAGCAGAUUUAGGAGAAGGGGGUGUUUGGGUAAGACAGAGUUUCUUAGGAACUAAAAAGAAAGCUUAUAAUUGUAUUGCAGGAUGAAACUGCCAAUGUACCUGCAGAAAAAGUGAAGAGAACCGAGAUGAAAAAAGCACAGAACAAAACUGAGUGACUGCAAGCUCUUGAAAGUAAAAAUCAAUCUGCUUCAGAUUUAUCACAAUCUGCCAUCGAUAUAUGUGAAAUAUUCUAGAAUUGCUAGGCCAAAUGAUGAUUACAAGCAAGCAAAAUAUUUUAUUAAACAAAAAUACUGAAGUGAAAAUGAAUCACAGAAAGAUUAUUCCAAGAUAGAAACUGUAGAAAAUGCUGUUACAGCUAGCAUUUUAGGAUCAACUGAUCUAGAGAUACGAUCUCAUACGCUCUCAUGUGAGAUUUUUGGAGACAAACUAUGAUGAAAACCACAUCGCUGAGUUGUAUCAGGACUCAGCUAAAGUGAUUCAAAAGUGGCAGUUCAAGGUGCUCCAACAUUUGGUUACAUUUUGUGGAUCAAACAGGAGACCUUCAAAAAACAAACUUUACAAAAACAGGAGACCUACAAAAAACGAACAUGUGAGAAAAAGUAUUUUAGCUAAAAUAGUAUCGGCUUGCUUUCUUCAGUUAUUCUUUUGUAAUUCCAUAAUGGGAAGCAUAAACCUUAACCUGAAUUUAGUUGUAGCUGAAGAACUUCUGUUGAGAAAUUAAGCAGAUCCAAAGGCUGUACCACUGAGAGGGACCCUGAACUUAGUAAACACCUUUUCAGUUCUGAAAAGGGGUGAAAGUCAUGACCUCAAAAACAUCAAAGAAUAUACGUUGCUAAAGGAAAGUUCAUUAGCUACACAGCAUAGGAGUGAGGAAGAUCAUUAAAAUGGUUACUUGGGAAAAUUGUUUCCUAAAUUUUAUGUAAGUUUAAAGGCAGAAGAAUGACAUUUGCUCUCAAAAUGGCAGUGGAAAAGUUCUUCUAAAAGUCAUGGCCAGUGCUGCAUAAGUAAUAACAGGGCAUGUUGAGGAGAGGUGCUAGUAUCAUACUGAGAGAACUAAUCACAGAUCAUAAAUAUAAGUGAUCAGGCUAUAGUGAAGCAAUAUUUGUCUUGAUUACCAGAAACAGCAAGGGAAAAAAACCCCAUUGUUUUAGACAGUGAAGGAAAUCUGAUAGUUAAAAUUUCAUUUAGAAACAUUUGUUCAAAAAAAUGCUGUAUUUAAUUGCAGGACAUAAGGGCAAAAGCACUAAGUAAUUUUGAGAAUACACAUGUGUGUUAGCAAUUUCAUGGAGGAAAAUAGCAGCAUUAUGGAGUAGAGAGCCAAAAAUGUUGAGAGAGAGAUGAAUGGAAAAGAAACCAUCUCCAGAUACCUAGACAUUAGACUUACUGAAGAAUUAGAAACUUUUUAAGGGAUAUAAAAUAUACAAACUUUGAUAGGAGCCCAGAAAUAUUCAACCUAAGUCUGGUGCUGUUUUCAUCUCAUGUAUUACCAUGUUGUAUCAUGUGCCACAGAGCUGAUCUGUAAUAGGCUUUAAUGUCAAGGAAAAGAGGCUGCAGUGUCCUUUUCUCACCAUGACUGUAGCUUUUAAACUCAGCAACCCUAAUUACCUGGGCUUCAAGCCAUAUCACAAGCUUUUUACAACCUCCAGGAUGCCUCUUUCUGUAACACCCUGCAGAGUCCUACUGGACAGUAGUUGGAGAAGUGCUGCAUCAAGAAUCCCCUGCCCUCACUGUACAUGAUUCAAACAAGCUUUGCAGGAUGUUUGGAAAUUCAAAUUAAUAAGGCUGCCAAAAGCUCACCAAGAAAGGUUUGCCUGUUAGUCUUAGUCAAUAGCAAAUAUCUUGCUAGAAGAUAAGUAAGAGGUAGAAGUCACUAUAUCCCUUACUGGCUAUGUGCGAAAAAGGUGAUACCUUAAAUUUAUGCAUGGAUGUUAGAGAUUUCGACAAACUGUUUAUUCCUAAAGACAUCCUAUACACAGAAUUCAAGAGGACUUGAAUCCUUCAAGCCAUGAUGACAGAAAUAUUUUGACUUCUGCUAAGACAGUGGUCUUUGUAUUGUCUUUAAACAAUUAACACAAGUCAAAACAUUGUUGACAUGACCCAACAUUAGCACAUAAAUGUGUAAUGUAUCACAUUUAGCCUGGGAUGAAUCAGGACUAAAUUUGGCCCACUUUAGAAGUGUAGGUGCCAUCAUGCUAUCUUUGAUUAAUGCCUUGGCAGCUGCAAAAUUUUUAUUCAUUCUGGAUUUGAGUUUGAUUUUCUAGACCUCCUGGUCCAGCUGGUGCUCAGCAGGAGGAAAGUGGUGAGCAUACAUGGCAAGAUGUGGAAAGGCUGAACAAGGCACAGGCCUUCCUCUUUCUGCAACAGCUAGCUGCUAUUUCUGCUGAUGUCCUGGCAGGAGCCCAUUACCCACUAAGUUCUAGAUGUAAAAACUAAUUUUCUUUGUCUUUGAUCACAAUACAACUUAUCCCCAAGGAUUUCUAAGUGAACAAAGAAUAUAUCUGCCAAUAUUCGCUGAAUUUAUGAAUGAAUUUGUACUCCUUUGGGGCUUACUUCCAUCUCUACAGAAUGAAAUGGAAAAUGUCUCAAAUAUUUGAGACACUAAUUAUGGGAUCUCCCUCCUAGUUUGCUAAAGCUUGUUUACAACAAAAAAAAAAAAGAAAAAAAAAAAGAAA